rnacentral:rRNA from 1 species
ACGUACACUCCUGCGGGAGGCAGCAGUGGGGAAUAUUGGACAAUGGGCGCAAGCCUGAUCCAGCCAUGCCGCGUGAGUGAUGAAGGCCCUAGGGUUGUAAAGCUCUUUCACCGGUGAAGAUAAUGACGGUAACCGGAGAAGAAGCCCCGGCUAACUUCGUGCCAGCAGCCGCGGUAAUACGAAGGGGGCUAGCGUUGUUCGGAUUUACUGGGCGUAAAGCGCACGUAGGCGGACUAUUAAGUCAGGGGUGAAAUCCCGGGGCUCAACCCCGGAACUGCCUUUGAUACUGGUAGUCUUGAGUUCGAGAGAGGUGAGUGGAAUUCCGAGUGUAGAGGUGAAAUUCGUAGAUAUUCGGAGGAACACCAGUGGCGAAGGCGGCUCACUGGCUCGAUACUGACGCUGGGGUGCGAAAGCGUGGGGAGCAAACAGGAUUAGAAACCCCGGUAGUCCCA